CUGAACGCUGGCGGCGUGGCUAAGACAUGCAAGUCGCACGGUGUAGCAAUACACAGUGGCGAACGGGAGAGUAAUGAAUCGCUAAUGUACCCCGGACUCUGGGAUAGCUGCCCGAAAGGGCAGGUAAUACCAGAUGACACCACCUUGUCGCAUGGCAGGGUGUUCAAAGGUCCGCCGGUCUGGGAGCAGGCGAUUUCGUAUCAGCUAGUUGGUGAGGUAACGGCUCACCAAGGCGACGACGCGUAGCCGGACUGAGAGGUUGGCCGGCCUCAUUGGGACUGAGACACUGCCCAGACUCCUACGGGGGGCUGCAGUAACGAAUCUUCCGCAAUGCACGAAAGUGUGACGGAGCGACGCCGCGUGUGGGACGAAGCCCUUCGGGGUGUAAACCACUGUCAGGGGUUACCAAGUUCUGAGGAGCCCCAGAGGAAGGCACGGCUAACUCUGU
rnacentral:rRNA from 1 species